CCUACGGGUGGCAGCAGUGGGGGAUAUUGCACAAUGGGGGAAACCCUGAUGCAGCGACGCCGCGUGAGUGAAGAAGUAUUUCGGUAUGUAAAGCUCUAUCAGCAGGGAAGAAAAUGACAGUACCUGACCAAGAAGCCCCGGCUAACGACGUGCCCGCAGCCGCGGUAAUACGUAGGGGGCAAGCGUUAUCCGGAUUUACGGGGUGGAAAGGGAGCGCAGGCGGCACGGCAAGCCUGAUGUGAAAGCCCGCGGCCCAACCGCGGGACUGCAUUGGGAACUACCGGGCUGGAGUGCCGGAGAGGUAGGCGGAAUUCCUAGUGUAGCGGUGAAAUGCGUAGAUAUUAGGAGGAACACCAGUGGCGAAGGCGGCCUACUGGACGGUGACUGACGCUGAGGCUCGAAAGCGUGGGGAGCAAACAGGAUUAGAUACCCGGGUAGUC
rnacentral:rRNA from 1 species